GCCGGGAUAGUCUAGCCCGGAAAGGCGGUGGCCUUGAAAGCCACUGGUGUUUCACCUCAGGAGUUCAAAUCUCCUUCCCGGCG
rnacentral:tRNA from 1 species